rnacentral:rRNA from 1 species
GUCCGCACCGUAAACGAUGAUCACUCGUUGUCGGCGAUAUACAGUCGGCGACUAAGCGAAAGCAUUAAGUGAUCCACCUGGGAAGUACGACCGCAAGGUUGAAACUCAAAGGAAUUGACGGGGCCCGCACAAGCGGAGGAGCAUGUGGUUUAAUUCGAUGGUACGCGAGGAACCUUACCUGGGCUUGAAAGACAGUUGACCGUCUCUGAAAGGAGACUUUCGCAAGACAACUGUCUAGGUGCUGCAUGGCUGUCGU